GGUAAAAGAAAAGUAGUUGACAGAUGUUUAUGACGAGAUAGGAAGUGAACAGUAAAAAGGAGGAAAUUAGAAAAGUCUUGGCGAGGAGUAAAACGUGUUUAUUAAAACUGCUAGUUAGUUUAGUGAUAACCCACCAAAAGAAUUCGUUCGGAGAUCAGCCGUCUGUGUUGCUAUUGCGUUUCAGAUUAACAACAUAGAGCUGGAUCUUGCAAGUUUUCAGAUAAGUAGAUUUGAGCAGGAAGUGGAAAGUAGAUUGUUUGAUUGGUUGAGGCGGAUACAAAAUCUUUGAGCUGCACACAUCAGCACUGCUACAAAGAACCACUCAUUCCUUUCCGAACACCGUAUAUUUUCACCGGAAGGCCAAAUCAUAACUAACAAUCAACAGCAGCAGCCUAAAAAUCUGCGCUCAUUGAGUCAACCUUUCAUUUUCCACCGGAAAGCCAAAUCAAAACAUACAAUCUGCAUUAACAGCCUUUAAAAAUCUGCGUUCCCUGUGCCAAUCCGUGUUUCUACAGAAGGCAGAAUCAGAAACAAUUUAUAUCGCAGCAGCAGCCUUAAAAAUCUGUGCUUCCUAAGCCAAUCAGUCUAUUUCAG